CUCUUAAGAUUGAGCUGUGAUGGGGAGAGGAACUUGUUCCUCGAGUCGUUGAUUUCACACUGCCGAGAAAAGCCUCUAGCUAGAAUAACGGUGCCCGUACCGCAAACCGACACAGGUAGUCAAGAUGAGAAUUCUAAGGUGAGCGAGCGAACUCUCGUUAAGGAACUCGGCAAAAUGACCCCGUAACUUCGGGAGAAGGGGUGCUCUUUGAGGUUCACGCUUCGAAGAGCCGCAGUGAAUAGGCCCAAGCGACUGUUUAUCAAAAACACAGGUCUCUGCUAAACCGUAAGGUGACGUAUAGGGGCUGACGCCUGCCCGGUGCUGGAAGGUUAAGAGGAGUGGUUAGCGCAAGCGAAGCUACGAAUCGAAGCCCCAGUAAACGGCGGCCGUAACUAUAACGGUCCUAAGGUAGCGAAAUUCCUUGUCGGGUAAGUUCCGACCCGCACGAAAGGCGUAACGAUUUGGGCACUGUCUCAACGAGAGACUCGGUGAAAUCAUAGUACCGGUGAAGAUGCCGGUUACCCGCGACAGGACGGAAAGACCCCGUGGAGCUUUACUGUAGCCUGAUAUUGAAAUUCGGUACAGUUUGUACAGGAUAGGUAGGAGCCUUAGAAGCGUGAGCGCUAGCUUACGUGGAGGCAUUGGUGGGAUACUACCCUAAUUGUAUUGGAUUUCUAACCCGCAGCACUUAUCGUGCUGGGAGACAGUGUCAGGCGGGCAGUUUGACUGGGGCGGUCGCCUCCUAAAGAGUAACGGAGGCGCUCAAAGGUUCCCUCAGAAUGGUUGGAAAUCAUUCAUAGAGUGUAAAGGCAUAAGGGAGCUUGACUGCGAGACCUACAAGUCGAGCAGGGUCGAAAGACGGACUUAGUGAUCCGGUGGUUCCGCAUGGAAGGGCCAUCGCUCAACGGAUAAAAGCUACCCCGGGGAUAACAGGCUUAUCUCCCCCAAGAGUUCACAUCGACGGGGAGGUUUGGCACCUCGAUGUCGGCUCAUCGCAUCCUGGGGCUGUAGUCGGUCCCAAGGGUUGGGCUGUUCGCCCAUUAAAGCGGUACGCGAGCUGGGUUCAGAACGUCGUGAGACAGUUCGGUCCCUAUCCGUCGUGGGCGUAGGAAAUUUGAGAGGAGCUGUCCUUAGUACGAGAGGACCGGGAUGGACAUACCUCUGGUGUACCAGUUGUCGUGCCAACGGCAUAGCUGGGUAGCUAUGUAUGGACGGGAUAAGUGCUGAAAGCAUCUAAGCAUGAAGCCCCCCUCGAGAUGAGAUUUCCCAACUUCGGUUAUAAGAUCCCUCAAAGAUGAUGAGGUGAAUAGGUUCGAGGUGGAAGCGUAGUGAUACGUGGAGCUGACGAAUACUAAUCGAUCGAAGACUUAAUCAA
rnacentral:rRNA from 1 species